rnacentral:rRNA from 1 species
UACGUAGGGACCAAGCGUUGUUCGGAUUUAUUGGGCGUAAAGAGCUCGUAGGCGGCUUGUUGCGUCGGCUGUGAAAACCCAUGGCUCAACCGUGGGCUUGCAGCCGAUACGGGCAGGCUAGAGUUCGGUAGGGGAGACUGGAAUUCCUGGUGUAGCGGUGAAAUGCGCAGAUAUCAGGAGGAACACCGGUGGCGAAGGCGGAUCUCUGGGCCGAUACUGACGCUGAGGAGCGAAAGCGUGGGGAGCGAACAGG